GGAAGUGAGGGUGAUCUGGCUGCGACAUCUGUCACCCCACUGAUUGCCAGGGUUGAUUCUGCUGAUCUGGCUGGCUAGGCGGGGGUCCCCUUCCUCCCUCACCGCUCCAUGUGCGUCCCUCCCAAAGCUGCACACUCGGUCAAAGAGGACGACCACCCCCAAUAGAGGAGGACUGUUUCCUCGGUCAAGGGUAUACGAGUAGCUGCGCUCCCCUGCUAGAACCUCCAAACAAGCUCUCAAAACAACAACAAAAAAAAUAUUUCAUCAGAAUGAGAAUAAACUAUGGAGACCCAUAACCACUAAAAAAGAAUGAAGUACAUCUAUAGAUGAUGAUAUGUCU
rnacentral:snRNA from 1 species